UUGCAACAAUGGGAUGGCUUCAGCUGUGACUGUAGUAUGACUUCCUUCAGUGGACCACUCUGCAAUGACCAUAUGUGCAUCACAAUGUAGAAGAUGGGGU
rnacentral:sRNA from 1 species